rnacentral:rRNA from 1 species
UUCGCAAUGCCCGAAAGGGUGACGAAGCGACGCCGCGUGCGGGAAGAAGGCCUUCGGGUUGUAAACCGCUGUCGGGAGUUAAGAAAUGUAAGGAUGUUAAUAGCAUCUUUGCUUGACUAAGGCUCCGGAGGAAGCCACGGCUAACUCUGUGCCAGCAGCCGCGGUAAUACAGAGGCGGCAAGCGUUGCUCGGAAUUAUUGGGCGUAAAGAGCACGUAGGCGGCUAUGUAAGUCGGUUGUGAAAGCCUUCCGCUCAACGGGAGAACAGCAUCCGAUACUGCAUGGCUUGAGUGCGGGAGGGGAGAGUGGAACUUCUGGUGGAGCGGUGAAAUGCGUAGAUAUCAGAAGGAACGCCGGCGGCGAAAGCGGCUCUCUGGCCCAUAACUGACGCUGAGUGUGCGAAAGCUAGGGGAGCAAACGGGAUUAGAUACCCCGGUAGUCCUAGCCGUAAACGAUGGGCACUAAGUAGAGGGGUUUU